CCUCCCUGCUCUUGCACACACACGAACACACGCAUGCAUGCUGGCACGCACUUCACUGCAUUCAAUAAGCCAGUAUUUAGAAAACGACACCUUCAUGAUGCCCACCCCCUCCCGCACGCGCGCGCGCGCGUGCGCGCACACACACACACACACACACACACACACACACACACAUGCUUCCCAUGCCUCCACGCUCUACAAGCGGUCACAGCAACCACCAUGGCACCAGCCCCGAGAAUCGCGGGGACCACAGAAGCAACCCCCUACCCGCUUCGCAGAACCCGGACUUGGGGGAAACCUUCGGGCAGCGUCCUGCAGCCCCCCGCCCGCGGCCCGCCGCUGCGCACGCCAUGCCAAGUACGCGGAUCUUGAUGUCUUGGAUCCGUGACAGCGCGCGAGUCCAGCCCAAAAGCCCGAGGGACCGCGCGGCGGCGGUAUUCCCGGCGACAGCCCGAGAGCCCACGGCCCCUGCGCCCCACGGGCCACCCUGAUCUUCACCCUUCUCCCGGCCGCCCCGGAGGUCCUGGCCCCGCCGGACCCUCAGCCCGCGACUCCGCAGCCUAGGCUCGGGUUCCCGGUGCCCCAGGACCGAGCCCCGGCGCCUCCCGCCGGCUUGCCACGCUCUCGCGGUGCUCAGUUCCCUGGCUUUCCACACGCGCUCACAGACACGCGCCCUGCCCUUUCCCGGCCCAACACGCACACCUGCAUACACUUGGUGAUGCCGGCCCUCCCGCAUCUCAGGGGGCCCUGAGCCCCGCGGUCCCCGCUGCCACUCUACCGGGUCCCGGUCAGCUGAUGCCCCGUCCCCCUUCCCCUGGGAGGGCACACGACGCCGCACUUACAGUUCGCAGAAACUGGAUCUCGUCCUCGCCUUCGCCCCCAUCGGCCAUGGCUCCGCGAUCCUCGCCGGGGCCGGCUCCAGAGCCCUGCGGAGACCGGCGGCGGCGGCCCCUCGCGCUGCGCCUGCUCCUGCUCCUGCUCCUGCACCUGCCGCUGCCCGGAGCCGGGGGUAACAGGGGGCCGAGCUGCAGGUGCAGAUCGCCGGGCGGUCCGCGCCUGCAGAGCCCAGGAGACUGCGCGGGCGGGCGCGCGGGGGCGGCCGAGGCGCGGGGCCUCCCUGCGCCGCACUGUGCGGGAGGAGGCCGGCCGGGUGGGGGACGCGGGGAGGCGGCCCGCAGCGCAGCCGCGCUUGCUGCCUGCAGCCGGCAGCCCGCUCGGCCCCGCUCCUCGGAGCGAGUGCGCGGAGCCGGGGGAGCUCGGGUAGUGCCGCGGCGGGGGCGGGGUGGGGGCGGGCGGGGGCGCGGGGAGGAGCUCGCCGUCCCGGCUGCUGCAGGUAAUCCGCAGCCCGCUCCGCCCGCCGUCAGCGCCGCUUACUGGCUGCGCCCGGUAUCGGGAUGGCGAGCGCCGGGAGAGCGCAAAGCCUUCCACCUGCUCUCUGCGUGGCCUCUGGGCUCCUUUGCCUGCCCUUUCCGAACUUAAGCCGGGGCAUGGCUGUGACAGUGGGCACCAACUUCCUCUGCACUUUGCAUCGCCAGGAAGACUCGUUUCCCUCCCGCCUGCCUGGGGCGGGGGGACAGCGGGUGGAGAGUCUCCAAGUAAAGGGGACCCAACACGUGAUAUUUUAAACCAGGAUUCCCUGGAUUCAAGAUCAACAUGGGAAUUCUUCGAUAUGUAGUUCUAGUGUACUACGCUUUUCACAGAUAAUCCGUACAACGUGCGUAGUUUGGGUGCACAGAACUUUUUUUUUUUUUUCAGUUGUUGCUGGACCUUUAUUUUAUUCAUUUAUUUAUAUGCAGUGCGGAGAAUCGAACCCAGUGCCUCACACAUGCAAGGCAAGAGCGCUAUCACUGAGCCACAACCCCAGCCCUGCGCAGAACCUUUAACAAAUUCAUUCCACAAAUAUAUAAAGAGCAUGUAUAUCAGACAAUGUGGUACAAGACAGAGGAGUAUGUGUCUAAUUGAACAAGCAAUUGCAAUGUAUAGGGUGGUAUCUACGAGUUCUGAUCACUGGGUGUCUCUAAACUGAUACUGUGGUAUCCAUUACUCUUUCUGAGAAAAGAAAUUCAAGCAUUGCACCACAAAUCAUUCUCUGGGUCCUCCGUGCAAUAGCCUACCGAGUCUCCAUUUAAGAAACUGGCUGUGAGUACAGGGUCUGAGACUGUUUGGACCAACAAGCAUGUAUCACUCGCCCCCGGUCCCCGGCUCUUUCAUUAAUGUCACUAACAAAAUGAAGUUAAGUGCAAAGUAAAGUUUCCAGAUGUCAAUCCUACAAAAGUGCAAUUUCUACCGUAAAAGAUUUUGGCAUCAGGUUACCUACAUUACACAUUUGGCAGCAUCUAACCUGUAUUAAAAUUGACCUGUAAGCUCUAUGCAGCAUGCAUUUUCUUUCUGGCACCCAUUAACUUUGUACUUACUGGGCUAGUGUUUGCUGUUUCCAGGAGAGUGGAUACUAUAAGCACCAUGUCUAUAAAUAUCCUCCCUGUGUGGUGGGAUCCUGCUCUGCCCAAUGUUUAGACAUGAACUAGUGUCCUAGUCCUCCUACCUAACGACUUGACACAUUCUUGUAUCCAUGGUAAUUAGCAAGUCCUAAAUCCUCAUUAUUUAUGUGAAUUUCUACUCUAAGGAUUCUCUAAACAAGCUUCCAAAAGAUAAGGUGAAAGUUCUCCUUGAGGAAUGACUUCUGAUAUUGGCUCAUACUGCUAAAUAAUUCAAUCUUCCUAAAUUAAAACAUAUAAAGUUGACCUUAUAAGGUACUUUUUCCAGAAGUGGGCACAGUUUCUAAACUAAAACACAUCCUGUAUGUUUGGAAAUCACUCCAUCCUACCUAUAGAAUAGGUAAAAUAUUAAAACUCAUACUGUUUUCCAUUUUGGAUACUCUAACUAGACUAUAAACUCUUCUAGCAAAAGCCAUAUUUAUUAUUUCUCUUAGCAUAAGUGAAAUAAUGCUAAAUGUCCUAGGCUCUCAGUAAUUAUUAUUUACCCUAUAAAAUCUUCAACAGCAAAUAGACAGAGCAGACAUGUUUUUAAAACAUACCAUUUAUAAUGUGAACUUUAACACUCAAAAGUACAAUACCAUGAGAUUUCUAGACCUAUAAUCUGUACUAAAAGUAUAAAAAUGCUUUGGGGAAUUAUACAUAAUAUCUCUUUUUAAAAGAAGAAACUGAAGCAAAUAGAGCAAGUGUUUUAAUAUAGUGGUUGGCAUAAGGGUGUAGUGUUACUUUGGGAACAUUGAUAUUUUGACAUAUUUCAUAAUUAUAAAACGAAAUAAUUUUAACAGAGAACUACUUCAGUGAAAGUUAUAGAAACUUUUUUAUUUACAGGGUUUUUUUUUUCUUUUAACUUUUGGAUGACUUAGCUAUGAUUCCCUACUUUCUUCUUCUAAGUGAACAAUUAUAAAAAUAUUUGGUUUUGAG
rnacentral:lncRNA from 1 species